GCCUUCAGCUAUCCCUCUGCAACUCUCAAAUGGUUGCCAGCUGAAGCUAAACAGGGCCACGCCCGGUCAUUACCUGGAUGGGAGACCACAUAGGAAAGCUAGGUUGCUGUGGGAA
rnacentral:rRNA from 1 species